rnacentral:rRNA from 1 species
GCAUAUCAAUAAGCGGAGGAAAAGAAACUAACAAGGAUUCCCCUAGUAACGGCGAGUGAAGAGGGAAGAGCCCAAGAUUGAAAGCUGGCGUCUUCGGCGUCCGCAUUGUAAUCUCAAGAAGUGUUUUCCGUUUCGGACCAUGCCUAAGUCUCUUGGAAAAGAGCAUCAUAGAGGGUGAUAAUCCCGUACAUGGCAUGGAGCGCCCGAGACUUUGUGAUACGCUUUCUAAGAGUCGAGUUGUUUGGGAAUGCAGCUCAAAAUGGGUGGUAAAUGCCAUCUAAGGCUAAAUAUUGGGGAGAGACCGAUAGCGAACAAGUACAGUGAUGGAAAGAUGAAAAGAACUUUGAAAAGAGAGUUAAACAGUACGUGAAAUUGCCAAAAGGGAAGGGUAGGAGGUCAGAGAUGCGUUCUGGGAUUCAGCCUUGCUUUUGCUUGGUGUUUUUCCCAGAUGGCAGGCCAACGUCGGUUUUGGGCGCUGGAGAAGGGUGGAAGGAAUGUGGCACCUCUCGGGGUGUGUUAUAGCCUUCUACUGGAUACAGUGACCGAGACCGAGGACAGCAGCGUACUCGCAAGAGCGGGCCUUCGGGCACCUUUACGCUUAGGGCGUUGGCAUAAUGGCCCUCUACCACCCGUCUUGAAACACGGACCAAGGAGUCUAACAUGUAUGCGAGUCUUUGGGUGGCAAACCCAUAGGCGCAAUGAAAGUGAAUUCAGGUGGGAUCCGCAAGGUGCACCAUCGACCGAUCCUCACGUCUUUUAAGUCGUGGAUUUGAGUAAGAGCAUACCUGUUGGGACCCGAAAGAUGGUGAACUAUGCCUGAAUAGGGUGAAGCCAGAGGAAACUCUGGUGGAGGCUCGUAGCGGUUCUGACGUGCAAAUCGAUCGUCAAAUUUGGGUAUAGGGGGCGAAAGACUAAUCGAACCAUCUAGUAGCUGGGUUCCUGCCGAAGUU